rnacentral:rRNA from 1 species
AUUGAACGCUGGCGGCAGGCUUAACACAUGCAAGUCGAGCGGAGAGAGGUAGCUUGCUACUGAUCUUAGCGGCGGACGGGUGAGUAAUGCUUAGGAAUCUGCCUAUUAGUGGGGGACAACAUUUCGAAAGGAAUGCUAAUACCGCAUACGUCCUACGGGCGAAAGCAGGGGAUCUUCGGAACUUGCGCUAAUAGAUGAGCCUAAGUCGGAGUAGCUAGUUGGUGGGGUAAAGGCCUACCAAGGCGACGAUCUGUAGCGGGUCUGAGAGGAUGAUCCGCCACACUGGGACUGAGACACGGCCCAGACUCCUACGGGAGGCAGCAGUGGGGAAUAUUGGACAAUGGGCGGAAGCCUGAUCCAGCCAUGCCGCGUGUGUGAAGAAGGCCUUAUGGUUGUAAAGCACUUUAAGCGAGGAGGAGGCUACUUUAGUUAAUACCUAGAGAUAGUGGACGUUACUCGCAGAAUAAGCACCGGCUAACUCUGUGCCAGCCGCCGCGGUAAUAC